UAAUUUAUUUAACUGAAUCCGAGAAUCAAUGAGACCAAAAACCGAUAGAAAUGCCGCUCAACCCUGAAAAGCUGCGGAAAUACCUAGCACCAAAUCCCUAAAAUCAUUUUCUUUGAAGAAAAAAAAAAAGAACUUUUUUUGUGCCAAGAAAAGUAACUUUUAUACAUUUGUGUUAUCACUCUUAAAAAUAUCGGCCCCGCCAUAGUUGUAAGGAUCUGAAGCUGACUCAUUAAUGGCUACCGCCACUUCCAUCGUACGGUCUCCAGCGGCCCUACUCUUUGCCAAAGUCACUGUCUCCGAUCACAAACCAACCCCAACCAUUCAAAUCUCCCGAUUCCCUUCAAAACGUAGUUGUUUCACUGCUCUUUUGUCUUCCCUCCACGACAACAACGACGACGACGACAACAACAACAACAACAACGUCAUCUCGCAUCCCAAGCCUCUUUCUUCAUCCCAGCUCUUUAAUUCCGUGUCUAAUGGCUCUCGCCUUCGCGUUGCAUAUCAGGGAGUUCGUGGUGCCUACAGUGAAGCUGCUGCUGAGAAGGCCUAUCCCAAUUGUGAAACUGUUCCUUGUGACCAAUUUGAUUCUGCUUUUCAAGCUGUUGAAAAGUGGUUAGUGGAUAGAGCAGUAUUACCGAUUGAGAAUUCUUUAGGUGGUAGUAUACAUAGGAAUUAUGACCUCUUGCUUCGCCAUAGCUUGCAUAUUGUUGGGGAAGUUAAGCUUGCUGUUCAACAUUGCUUAGUAGCCAAUCAUGGUGUUCAACUUGAGGAUUUAAGUAGGGUUCUUAGUCAUCCUCAGGCUCUAGCUCAGUGCGAGAACACGUUAACAAAGAUAGGCUUGAGCAGAGAAGCAGUUGAUGAUACUGCCCUUGCAGCAAAGCAUGUGGCUCUCCACAAACUAAAAGAUACUGGAGCUGUUGCAAGUUCUUCGGCUGCAAAGAUAUAUGGAUUGAACAUCCUUGCUCAAAAUAUUCAGGAUGAUUGUGAUAAUGUUACUCGAUUUCUAAUUCUGGCCAGGGAACCAAUUAUUCCUGGCAUCCAGAAUCCAUUCAAGACAAGUAUAGUUUUUUCGUUAGAGGAGGGUCCUGGUGUGCUUUUCAAGGCACUUGCUGUUUUUGCGCUUCGGCAGAUCAACCUGACAAAGAUUGAAAGUCGCCCAUUGAGGAACCAGCCUUUGCGAGCAGCUGAUGAUAACAAUGGUUCAAAAUACUUUGAUUACCUCUUCUAUGUGGAUUUUGAAGCAUCGAUGGCUGAAGAGAGAGCACAGAAUGCACUAAGACAUCUAAAGGAGUUUGCUACUUUUUUGCGAGUUCUAGGGAGUUAUCCAGUGGAUACUACCAUGAUGUGAACAAGUUAUUGAUCAUGGACCCAGGUCGCGUUUUUGUGAUAGAGAUAAGGCAUUGGUUUGGCUUUGAAACUGCAGCUGUCGAUAGCCAAGCCAUUGCACUACAGGGGAAUGUUGGCAAUGUAUCACUUUGGCUCUAAGGACAAAUUUAUUUUGUUGAUGUCAAGUCUAAAUAGCAAUCUAGACCCCACCACUGAAUCCCUAUUACGGGAUUUCGAGGAAUGCAUUGAUUUGGUGAACCACCGUCGCACAUGGAAUAGAGGCAGAAUGGUGGUCGAACCAACCAAACACACUGUGUUGGUGGGGUUGACUGAUGGAUGGUGAAGACGGCUAACAAUUAGAUCCCAACAACACAACAUGUCUUGUCUUAUUUUGUAGGUUCUUCCAAGUACAAACGCCACCCUGUACCAUUAUAGACUGCUUGAUGAUAUGUGGGGACUUAUCAGUCCCCCUUUAAUCUUAAAUUUAUUUAAAAAUCUAUAACGAU